AAAAACAUGAUGAUUCUAUUUAUGCACUGAACCUCCAUGUGGCUUGCAACAUGAGCUUUUUAACCCUGAUAAGA
rnacentral:snoRNA from 1 species